UACGAAGGGGGCUAGCGUUGCUCGGAAUUACUGGGCGUAGAGGGCUCGUAGGUGGCCAACUAAGUCAGACGUGAAAUCCCUCGGCUUAACCGGGGAACUGCGUCUGAUACUGGAUGGCUUGAGUUUGGGAGAGGGACGCGGAAUUCCAGGUGUAGCGGUGAAAUGCGUAGAUAUCUGGAGGAACACCGGUGGCGAAGGCGGCGUCCUGGACCAACACUGACACUGAUGAGCGAAAGCAUGGGGAGCGAACAGG
rnacentral:rRNA from 1 species